rnacentral:rRNA from 1 species
UACGGAGGGUGCAAGCGUUGUUCGGAUUUACUGGGCGUAAAGCGCGCGCAGGUGGGUGAACAAGUCGGAAGUGAAAUCUUGAGGCUCAACCUCGAGGCUGCUCCCGAAACUGUUCGGCUAGGGACUGGUAGAGGCUGGUAGAAUUCCCGGUGUAGCGGUGGAAUGCGUAGAGAUCGGGAAGAAUACCUGUGGCGAAGGCGGCGAGCUGGGCCAGAUCCGACACUGAGGCGCGAAAGCGUGGGGAGCAAACAGG